CACCAGCGCCACGAGUGGCCAUCACGAUUAUUGGGCCUAAAGCGUUCGUAGUCGGUUUGGAGCAUCCUCUGUGAAAUCGCAGCGCCUAACGUUGCGGCAUGCGGAGGACACGACCAAGCUUGAGACCGGGAGGCGUCGAGGGUAUUCCAAGGGGACCGGUAAAAUGGUAUAAUCCUUGGAGGACCACCUGUGGCGAAGGCGCUCGACGAGAACGGAUCUGACGAUGAGGAACGAAAGCCAGGGGAGCAAACCGG
rnacentral:rRNA from 1 species